AACGAACGCUGGCGGCAUGCCUAACACAUGCAAGUCGAACGAGACCUUCGGGUCUAGUUGCGCACGGGUGCGUAACGCGUGGGAACCUGCCCUUAGGUUCGGAAUAACUCCCCGACAGGGGUGCUAAUACCGGAUAAUGUCCUCGGACCAAAGAUAUAUCGCCUUUGGAUGGGCCCGCGUUGGAUUAGCUAGUUGGUAGGGUAAAAGCCUACCAAGGCGAGGAUACAUAGCUGGUCUGAGAGGAUGAUCAGCCACACUGGGACUGAGACACGGCCCAGACUCCUACGGGAUGCAGCAGUGGGUAAUAUUGGACAAUGGGCGAAAUCCUGAUGCAGCAAUGGCGGGUGAGUGAUGAAGGCGGUAGGGUUGUACAGCUCGUUUACCCGGGAUGAUAAUGACAGUACCGGGAGAGUAAGCACCGGCUAACUCCGUG
rnacentral:rRNA from 1 species